GUGCCAGCCGCCGCGGUAAUACGGAGGGGGCUAGCGUUACUCGGAUUCACUGGGCGUAAAGCGCGCGUAGGCGGGGGCGAAAGUCGGGCGUUAAAGCCCACGGCUCAACCGUGGACCAGCGUCCGAAACUCCGUCCCUUGGGGCCGGGAGAGGCCGGUGGAAUUCCCGGUGUAGCGGUGAAAUGCGCAGAUAUCGGGAAGAACACCAGAGGCGAAGGCGACCGGCUAGACCGAGCCCGACGCUGAGGUGCGAAAGCCAGGGGAGCGAACCGGAUUAGAGACCCGGGUAGUCCUGGCCGUAAACGAUGGACACUAGGCGUGGGAGUGUCGAGCUCCCGUGCCGUAGCUAACGCAUUAAGUGUCCCGCCUGGGGAGUACGCUCGCAAGGGUGAAACUCAAAUGAAUUGACGGGG
rnacentral:rRNA from 1 species